UACGUAGGGUGCGAGCGUUGUCCGGAAUUACUGGGCGUAAAGAGCUCGUAGGCGGCUUGUCACGUCGGGUGUGGAAAGCCCGGGGCUUAACCCCGGGUCUGCAUUCGAUACGGGCUAGCUAGAGUAUGGUAGGGGAGAUCGGAAUUCCUGGUGUAGCGGUGAAAUGCGCAGAUAUCAGGAGGAACACCGGUGGCGAAGGCGGAUCUCUGGGCCAUUACUGACGUGAGGAGCGAAAGCGUGGGGGGCGAACAGG
rnacentral:rRNA from 1 species